GAAUUUUUGACAAUGGGGGAAACCCUGAUCAAGCAACGCCGCGUGGAUGAUGAAGUAUCUCGGUACGUAAAAUCCUUUCGACAGGGAAGAAACCUUCGGGUUGACGGUACCUGUAGAAGAAGCCCCGGCUAACUCCGUGCCAGCAGCCGCGGUAAUACGGGGGGGGCAAGCGUUGUUCGGAAUUACUGGGCGUAAAGGGCUCGUAGGCGGCCAAUUAAGUCAGACGUGAAAUCCCUCGGCUCAACCGGGGAACUGCGUCUGAUACUGGAUGGCUUGAGUUUGGGAGAGGGAUGCGGAAUUCCAGGUGUAGCGGUGAAAUGCGUAGAUAUCUGGAGGAACACCGGUGGCGAAGGCGGCAUCCUGGACCAACACUGACGCUGAGGGAGCGAAAGCCAGGGGAGCAAACGG
rnacentral:rRNA from 1 species